UACGUAGGGUGCGAGCGUUAAUCGGAAUUACUGGGCGUAAAGCGUGCGCAGGCGGUUUUGUAAGCCAGAUGUGAAAUCCCCGAGCUUAACUUGGGAACUGCAUUUGGGACUGCAAGGCUAGAGUACGGCAGAGGGGGGUAGAAUUCCUGGUGUAGCAGUGAAAUGCGUAGAUAUCAGGAGGAACACCAGUGGCGAAGGCGGCGACCUGGGCCAAUAUUGACGCUCAUGCACGAAAGCGUGGGGAGCAAACAGG
rnacentral:rRNA from 1 species